UGGCCUGGCCUGGGACGUCCCGCUCCGCCCUGUCAGCUGUUGGCUUCCGGAGGAGGAGGAGGGGUGCGGCGGCGGUGGCGGUGGGAAGGGGCUGGCUAGGAGUUCGAGGGCGAGAUGUUGUGAUCGGAGGCGGUGUCCCUGCAGUUCACUGAGCGGAGGAGCCUGGUGCCGAGGCUCUCGCCUCCCCGGGUUCCGGAGCCUAUAGGCCCCGAAGCCGCCAUGCAGCCACUGCAAAGCCAGGCCUGGGGCCGCCUCAGCCGCAUCGACCGAGAGAGCGACAGUCACAUCCUGCUGGUGAACAGCGAGUGGACCAUCGGCAGGAGGAAGGGUUGUGAUUUAUCAUUUCCUGGCAAUAAGCUUGUUUCAGGAGACCACUGUAAAAUAAUUCGUGAGCAUACUGGGCAGGUGUGGUUAGAAGACACAAGUACUAAUGGAACAGUCAUCAACAAAUCCAAAGUGGUGAAGAAACAGACCUAUCCAUUGCAAAAUGGAGAUGCAAUUUACGUUGUCUACAGGAAGAAUGAGCCAGAUCAGAAUGUUGCCUAUUUAUACAAAGCACUGAAUUCUGAAGAGGAGAGUGUGGAGGAUACUUUGGAAUCAUCUUGCAAUCGGGUUAAGCAGAUCAUCAGUGAAACCUCAAGUUUGGACAGCAGCUCCAACCAAACGUCAAUUGCCAAUCCCCUUUGUCCCAAGCAAGUGGAGCACCCUUCCCGAGAGGAUCCACAACCAUGCACAUCCAACUACAAUCCUUUCUGUACCUCUGCAAUGGAUUCUAUUGCUAGUCAGCCAUCUGCCUCUACUCUGCAACCAUGCAUUUCCUCAACGGGGCCAGUGUCCACCACCGGGCCUUCUGCACUCACACAAGAAACUGGCUGCUCGGCAGCGCUUUGGACUUCAUGUCCAAGGCCGUCCAGUCCUCCUCCAGCAACCUCACGGACUUGGGCAGGCACGGAAAACGCACCAGGAUUUGAAACCUUAGAGUACACUGUUUCUGAUGUCCAGGCCAAAGAAAAGGACAUGGAACCAGCCAAAAAGAAACAGAAAAGAGAGAAUGAUGGAACUCCAGAACCAUUUCAGCUCGGUGAAGGUCAGAGUUCAAAUGUUAGGCACGAGGAUCAAGGGAACUUGGAGGGAAAACAGCCAGACAAGAUGGAGGAAACACUCACCUGUAUCAUCUGUCAGGACUUGUUGCACGAUUGUGUCAGCCUUCAACCAUGCAUGCACUCUUUCUGUGCAGCCUGUUAUUCAGGGUGGAUGGAGCGGUCAUCACUCUGCCCAACUUGCCGUUGUCCUGUUGAACGCAUUAGCAAGAAUCACAUGGUGAAUAAUCUUGUGGAAGCUUAUCUCCUCCAGCAUCCAGAGAAAUGUCGUAGUGGAGAUGAACUCCAAAGCAUGGAUGCUAGAAAUAAAAUUACCCACGACAUGUUACAGCCAAAGAUUAAGCGGUCAUUCUCCGAUGAAGAGGUCAGCUCUGAGGAUUUUCUGGAACUGUCAGACGUGGACAGUGAAUCAUCUGACAUUAGUCAACCAUACGUUGUGUGCCGACAGUGUCCUGGAUACAGGGCCGACAACAAUCAGACUACUUUCUUACCAAGUCAGCACAGUGGAGCCUGUGAGUUGCCAGGCUUCAGAGCAACUGGUGACGUCCCCUCAACCUCUACCAGUACUCUUGUCGCUGCCCAAGAGUACACCUGCCCUGUCCGGGGUCCUCAUACGAUUUGCACUUGCUGUUUCCAACCAAUGCCUGACCGGAGGGUGGAACGUGAACAGAAUCCAACCAUUACACCUCAACAAUGCACAGUUUGUUUACGGCCUUUCUGCCACAUGUACUGGGGCUGCUCUCGAGUAGGGUGUUCAGGAUGCUUGGCAAGGUUUUGUGAUAUAAAUUUUGGAGAAAAAUGUUUGGAUGGAAUAUUGAACAACAACACGUUUGAAUCAGAUAUCCUGAAGAAUUACCUUGCAUCCAGAGGCCUUACUUGGAAAGAGAUGCUGCAGGAAAGUCUUUUAGCUCUUCAGAGAGGAACAUUUGCUCUGACAGAUUAUAAUGUUUCGUCAAAUGCUGUCCUCUGUUACUGCUGUGGACUACAUAACUUCCGUGAGCUGGCUUAUCAGUACAGGCAGAACAUUCCAAAGGAGGACUUUCCAGGCUCUGUAACCGCACGUCCAGACUGUUACUGGGGUCGAAACUGUCGAACACAGGUUAAAGCACAUCAUGCUAUGAAAUUUAACCACAUCUGUGAACAAACUCGCUUCAAGCACUGAAGGUGUUCGAUGUCAAAGCCAUUGCAGCUCCUAGAGAAUGAAGAUUGAAUGAAUCUGAACUUUAAAAAUGGUCUUUAGAAAACUUUUUCUACAAACUUAUGAGGCUCUGGAGCAUUGUAAAAAUUUAUACCUAAAAGAUGAAAGGGCAAGAUAUCGACCAGCCGGAGUACAAAAAGAGAGCAAAAAAAAGAGCUCGAGGACAUCGGUUCAUUCAGACAUCUGAUGGCUGUGGGGAAGAAGCUGUUCCUAAAACAUUGAGUGUGUCUUCAGGCUCCUGCACCACCAGCUGAACGGUAGCAAUGAGGAGGCGUGUCCUGGGUGAUGGACAUCUUAACACUGGGAAUGAUUGGGAACCUUGGCUGACUCCGUCCAGGAUUCUAACCACAGAGAAAGCUGAGGCUAUUUCAGAUCAAGUACAUGCUUACUCUAGAUUAUAACUGAUGGGAAUCCUGCAGCUCAGCAACAGACCCUUCUGCCCACAAUGUCAAUGCUAACAAUUGAUUCUAUUUACCUUGCCGCAUUCGGCAAGAAAUAAUAAAUCAUGGUCUUGAAAGCUCUGGUUGCUCAAGUGUUCACAACUUUUAGAGGAGUUUAUUAGAGAGUCAUAGAGCACAGAAAACACCCUUCAGCCCAUCCAGUCCAGGCUGAACUAUUAUUCUGCCUAGUCCUAUUGACCUACACCUGGACCAUAGCCCUUCCUAUCCCUUCCACGUACUUACUGAAACUUCUCUUAAUCACUGCAAUUGAACCCACAUCCACCACUUCUGCUGGCAGCUCAUUCCAGAAUCACACCACUCUGAGACAGGGGAUCUCAGCCUUUUGUAUACAGUGGAGCCUUGCCAUUAACCAAGGGGGCUGUGGAGCCCCUGCUAUGAGUGAAGAAGUUCCUCCUUCGUGGAAAAAGCCUGCUUGCAUUUGCCCUAUUUAUACCCUUCAUAAUUUUGUAUACCUGUCUCAGAUCUCCCCUCAUUCUCCUGCAAUCCUUUCCACAUUAACUCAGAUCUAUAUAUCCCUCAAAUGGUCUGUAACCUAAAUGGUCUUACUCUGAUGUAAUAAUUCGUGGCAAGCUAUCGCCAAAUUAGCCCAAAAACGAGGAUUCCACACUAGGUUCAGCGACUUGCCAAAUAAACUUGUUCGGUUUAAGAAACUUUAGUGAUCUAUCAGUGACAUAGGCCUUGUGGCCAAAAUCUUGUACAGAGAAAAAUUGAACAGCAGUUGAUUAAAUUUUCAAUGAGCACUGAACACUAUAAUUCUAAAGUCUUCCUGAGAUUUAGUUAGAUGAAAUCUCUCCUCAUCCAGUCCAGGAUAUGGAGAGAGUAAAGAGAUCAAGAGAAGUGUUGAAGAGGCAGAAAACAUUAUUUCCAUUACCAGUGGACACUCCAAACGCUCAGCACUCAACCAUCUUCCAGCCACCUUAACACUCAUCAGAUUUGCACUUGUCCUUACCAACUCAUAAGGCUCUGCAUCAACUCCUCAUUCUCCGCAAUUUCUGCCAUCUUCAGAGGGAUCCUAUCUGAGCUGAUUGUGGUUACUUGCAGCUGUAGUUGAUUUCACUACUGUGAACCAAGGAAAUGAAGGCAAAUUAUCCUGUUCACCAAGUCCAAAAACAGUUUUGGGGUUGGCUGUGAUCUAACUUAGGAUGGACCAGUACAUCAAACAUAGAACACUACAGGGACAGACCCUUUGGGGGCUUUUGAUUUGCUUUUUAGCUGCUUCGGCACAACAUUGUGGGCCAAAAACUAAUCCCUCUGACCUACUCAAUGUCUGUAUCCCUCCGUCUUCCUCACGUUCAUGUUCCUGUCUAAACAUCUCUUAAAAGCCUCUAAUGUAUUUGCCUCUGUCACCAUACCAGACAGCACAUUCUGGGUAUCCACCACUCUGAGUUAAAAAAAAUUACCCCCAUGUCUCCCUUAAAUAUGCCCCCCUCUCACCUUCAAUGCAUUCCCUCUGGUACUAGACAUUUCCACCUUGGGAAACAGAUACUCCCUGUUUACUCUACCUAUGGCUCUCAUAAUCUUAUUAACCUCUAUUAGAUCUCCCCUCAGCCUCUGACGCUUCAGAGAAAACAACCCAAGUUUAUCCAGCACACACCUUCUAAACCAAGCAGCAUCCCGGUAAACCUCUUCUGCACCCUCUCCAAUGCCUCAACGUCCUUCCUAUAGUGGGGCAACCUGAACUGUACACAAUACAACAUAUGUGGCCUAACUGAAGCAGACCUCAUUAAAACCUUGUGCCUAAGUUACUAGAGCUUGAUCCCCAAAAAAGCAUGUCACUGUCAGGAGGAAACCGAAUUCUGUACAGUGUACCUCUGAGCUAUUUCAGCAUCAUUUUAAUAUUUCAGGCUGAUGACGUUUUGUCAGACCUGGGUAAAGUUAGAAAUGAGACAAGUGUCAAGUGGCAGAACAAUAGUGGGGCGGGGGGUUCGUUAUGGAAGAACUUAACUAAGCUUGUCACCUCCACUGGAGCAUAGGCCACUAACAGUAGCUUACCAGAGUCCUCUUUCCUGGACCAGUCUUUCACAUUGACCCCAGAUUUGGCCCAUCUUCUUGGUGUAAUCCUUCCUCUCCCAGCAUUAGGGUCUUCCGAGCUUCUGUUGGUGUUUCUGUAGCGCUGUUUUUUUUGGAAUGGGGGUUGCUGGCCCAUGCUCAACCCUCCCCCCCCUUUCGGCAGCCAGGUUUGAGACUGUAAAUGGUGGAGUUGUUGUGGAAGAACCAAUCUGUCUGAUUUCCCCUCCAUCUAGGCUCUGAGGAAGUUCCAUAAAUGCAAUAUUGGUUUUAUUUAACAAAGCCCUGAAAAGGAAUAACCCUAUGGUUUAUGUAUCAUAAAGCAAAGGGGUGUAUUUGUCCCAGUGUGGCUGUACCAGUUAUUUGAAAGAGCUUCCCAUUCCCAACAUUUUUCCUACAGUUUUAUCCUUGUUUUAUCCAUUGCCCACAUCGGACUUGGAGGCCACAGGUCGGGGUUUGAAUCCGGCUGGUUUCUUGCACACUUUCCAUCUGUGCUGGGUCCCAUCUAGCAUUUUGGCCUCGGGGGAAAAAAAACAGACAAAAAUGCUAAAGAAACAGCAAGGUUGCCGCCCAACGUGCCACGAGGCGUGGAAAGGAACAACAAUUGGCGACAAAAUUGUAAAUUUUUAUUUUAAAAAAACGCAAUUCUUCAGCUGCAAGACAACUGACGUCCUGUGUCACCUCUCCAUUGUGUUACGAAUAUUUCCUUUACCAUUUUGUUCUUUCAAGAAUAAAUCCUCUUCCACUUCUUUGCAUUAAAUUCCAUCUGCCUGCUCUGCCUCUAUCCAUCCCUGCCUUCUUUGUGAUUAUUGUCACUAAGCUUCCUCCCAAACUUCCUGUUAGUUUUGUACACUUCCCUUGUGUCCCAAAGGUUGUAGUUUGUUACCUUCAUGAAUUUCACUCUUAAUGCCGUUACGCCACUGGCAUUCAGAGCAACAAUGAAGGUCCUCCAUCUCUCUCUGUCCUUGGCCAUCUUCUCUAUUGUGCCCCAUGUGCUGUUCAGGUCCUUAUUUUUGCCAAGUUGUGUUUGGUCUCCCACGUUUUCUCCACCCUUCGGGGUCCAGUGAAGUGCUGUUUUGAUGACGGAGCUGGCCUCUCUUCUCGUCAUGUGCCCAAUCCAUCUCCAGCAUUCCCUCACGAUGAUUAUGACAUGUCCUCUUGAUGACGGUGAAGGAGUAGGGUAAUGGUCUUCUUGGCCAGAACAUGUGGAGCAUCUUGGUCUUGGCAGUGUUCAGGCCAUUUCAUCAUGGCUGAUUCAUUUUCCUUCUCAGCCUCAAUGUUCUGCUUUUUUCCUCAUAUCCCUGCACACCCUGACUAGUCAAGAAUACUGGUUGACGUACUGGUUAAUUGUUCUGUGAUUAGGUUAAGGAUUAAAUAGGUGAGUUGCUGGGCGGCACGACUUGUUGGGCUGGAAGGGCCUUUUCUGUUCUGCACUGUAUCUCCAAAUAAACGCAUAAGCAACCAGCCUCCACGAGCAUUCUUACUGCCUGUUACACUGCUGGUGUGUAGGGCAGCAAUGAAGAUCCUCCAUCUCCGGCAGUGUUCGGUGUUUUCUUCAUCACAUCAGUGACUUCCUCUAGGUUUUCGCCACUGUCGGUUAUGCAAGUGGAGACUCAGGAAUACCUUCGCACACAGUUGUAGAAGGAUUUUUCAUUUAUGUUUCGGUAUCAUUUAUUUUUGACCAGUCGGGGUUGUUAGCCCUGAGCUUGGAGAACCAGUGGACCACUCUUAGUCUGAUCUAUUUGACAUGAGUGACCCUACCAAGAGUCAAAGGACAAGGUUUGACUCCGGCCAGCGUAGCUCUCUGGAUCAUUGAGGCAUGCAAGCCUCCAAACCGUGACAAGAUUGUGGCCCUCUCAGAGAGAAUUUAAACACUUCAUUAUCUUAUUGUAUGAAUCUCCAUUGAUAGGUUGGCACUGGUCAUCUCUAACAGCAGAGGCCACCAAUUUAGCUGUUCAAUCUUGCCUUGAUUACACCCCCCUUAUGUUCACUGGCACCCUAGUCAUUUGCCCACUUGUGUUACUGGACUUGCCUUUGAACCUGCAUUCUGGAAUAUGAAGGUGUUGAUUCUUCUGGCAGAGCGCUGCACAGAUUGGCAAAGUUUCAAGCUCUGUGGUGUCUUUUCAAUGCUGCAUAAACACAACUAGACUGGCUUCUUUUACUUUACGCUUUUUGUUAAAAGCAGUUAAGUGAGAUCCAUUUUCAAAUCUACGUUUUAAAAAAAAACUAUCCAGUAUGAUUGAGCAAGGUGUUCAGUGGAAGUGAGCAUUACAUCCAGUGUUCUGCUUAGGAAUUCACAAUUUUCAAUCCCCACAGGUUGUUAGUUCUUAUUCAGUUUAUACCUUGACAGGAAGGGGGUUGCAUAGCCUCGGUUGUAGCAGGGACUAGGCCUCAAGCCACAGGCUUGCCUGCUGCUGCAGUCUAGGUCAGUAGACACCAGAGGCAGUGUAGCGUGGCAUCCGUGCUUGGUUGGGAGCUGGCCUCUCUUGUUGGUGCUGCCCUCCAGUGGUCGAUUAGUGGAAUGACAGGCUGGAUUGCCAGGAUCUGUGUCAUCAGUUUAUGGGACAUGUCACUCAGGGUCUUGGACUAUUUAUGUUUUCUUGAGUGACUUUUUUUUAUUCACUAUUUUGAAAGUGCUGUGUAUGUUUUGCAACUUGGCCCCAGAGGAACACUGUCUUGUUGGGCUGUAUCCAUGUAUGGUUGAAUGAUAAUUAAACUUGAUUUGAUAUUCACUGAACAGAUUUCAAAGCUUCUGCACAAGCCAAAUGAACAGAAUGUGGAGAGCUGGAAGUCUUGAGAUAGAAAAGAAAUGCUGAUUGCAGAAAAUUCAGAUACGAUGCACCUACAACAGGAAGACCAGAAUACAUCAAAUGCUGUAAAUCUAAAAUAUAGUGUAAAAUGCUGGAAAUGUUAAUGAAGGGUCAUCUACCAGAAAUGUUACCCACUCGUACCUCCACAGAUGCUGCCUAAUUUUAAGCUGGCGACAUUGCAGAUGCUGGAAAUCCAUAGCAACUCUCACAAAAUGCUGGAGGAACUCAGCAGGCAACAUCUACGGAGAGGAAUAAACAGUCGACUUUUUGGGCCAUGACUGAGAAAGGUCUCCACCCAAAAAGUCGACCGUCAGAAUUAGGUUUAAUAUCAUUGGCAUAUGCUAUGAAAUUUGUUAUGUGGCAGCAGUACAUGUCAAUACAUAAUAAAAACUGUAAAUUACAGUACAUUUAAGAAGUUAAGCAAAAAGAGGGGAAUAAAAAUAGUGAAGUUGUGGUCAUGAGUUUAAUGUCCAUUCAGGAAUCAGGUAGCAGAUGGGGAGAAGUUGUUCCUGAAUCUUUGUGUGCUUCAGGAUCCUGUACCACCUCCCUGAUGGUAGCAAUACUAAAGGGCAGGUACUGGGUGGUAGCAUCCUUAAUGAUGGAUGCUGUCUUUUUUCUUUUUCUUUUUUUUUGAAGCAUUGCUCCAUGAAGACAUCCUGGAUGCUGGGGAGACUAUUAUCCGUGUGGUGUUCACCCUUACCCAAUUACCGGGCAAUGAUGCAGCCAGUUAGAAUACUCACCACAGUACCUCAGUAGAAAUGUGUGUGUGUAUUCAUUUCUGUAAAUACUGCCUGACCUGCUGAGUUCCUUCAGUAUUUUGUGAGUUUCUGUCUAAUUUGACUGCCUCAGCACUUUCUAUUAAUUUUAAUAUUGAUUGCUGCAUAUUCCAAUUCCUAAGUGAAUAAGGAUUCUGUGCAUUUUAAGCCAUAUUGUAAAGAGGCAAACCUAAGCAAUAUCUGGACGAGCACUUGAAUCGGUGUAUAAAUUAUGAGUCAGGUGCUGGUUAAUGGGUGCCAGGAUCUGUUUCUAUACUGAUGAAUUCCUAGAUAUGAGGAGCUUAUGAUAGAGCUAAAUUGCUGUAACCAUCCACGAUAGAAGCAGAAUUAAGCUAUUCGAGUCUGCUCUGUCAUUUGAUCAUGGUUGAUUUAUUUCUUCUCUCAACCCCAUUCUCCUUUCUUCUCGCUGUAACCUUUGAAUCCUGACUAAUUAAGAACUUAUCAAUCUUCGCUUUAAGUACACUCAAUGACUUGGCUUCCACAGCCUUCUGUGGCAAUGAAUUCUACAGAUUCACCACUCUCUGAAGAAAUUUCUCCUCAUCCCUGUCCUAAAGGGAUGCUCUUCUAUUCUGAAGGCUGCGCUCUCUGGUCCUAGACUCCCCUACUGCAGGAAACAUUCUCUAACAAUCACAGGUACAGUUCCAGUAUAGAAUCUGGCAUUGCACAAAACCAUUCAACCCAUUGUCCAAGUGUUGACUUUUUAGUCCUAGUAUUGUGUCAAGUGCAGCACUUCCAGAACUCUGGGAAACUGUAGCUGUUAUAAAUGCAUGUUCAGCCAAGGUCCAAUCGAGUUUACAUUUUGGCUUGAAGUCACCACUUUAACAAUAAAUUGUCUGGUGCCAUGCACUUGAGAUUUGAUUUAACCAGGCUUUCUGAAAAUAGUAUCACUGUAUCCUGAGAAAACUCUCAAAUGCUUUGUCUUGAGUGAUGUGGAUGCCAGAAUGUAGUUGGCUGGAUUCAUCUCGUCCUGUUUCCUAGGCCAUUCUUCCAUCUUCUGCCAGCAUCAAUCCAAAAUCAUCUCGCCUGGUACUAAUUUCUGCUGCAUCACUGCCCAUCGUUAUCUUAGAUUUAGAAUUCUUGCUUAUGUGUCUCCUCGUCUCUUCCCUUCCUAGAUCAGCAGCCUUCCCAUUCAUGGUUUCCAACCGUGAGCACUUUCCUUCUGUCACAUUGCUAUCUUAUGAAUCCUCUCUCCCUUCAGCCCAAUAUUUAUAGCUCUGCAUUUGGAAACUGAGAUUUCCUGCAUCACCUUUCUUUCAAAGUUCCAAGACAAAGUAUCAGAAACACUGGACAACAAAUUUUUUUGAAAGUGUUGCUUUCUCAGAUUUUUUUUUUUGUUGAUGAUAGACCGCGUGAAGCUGAACACAAAUAUAAUUUCAGAUUACUUGUAUUGCAUAGGAAUUUGGAGAAACAAGAAAUCAACUUUUAUUGAAUAUAUACUUAACUACAUAAUGGUGCUGACAGUUGCAAAAGUUAAAUUAAGCAAAAAUUGUUUUGUUGAUGAUUUUCAUUUGUACUCAGUAUCUGAGGCUUCUUGCUUCAGUGUCCAGCAAUAAUCAGCCAGAAUUGAUGGAUUCCAGUUGCCCUGAUAACGUUUCUCCAUGACUGCAAUGUCCUGGUGAAACCUUUUGUCAUGUUCAUCACUCAGUGCCAAGAUUUUCAGGGAAGAAUUGGGAAUGCAGAAAAUGAAUCUAGUGACAUGUUGCACAUCAUAGUUUUGUGUGCUUGAAACAUGUUGUCAAUCAGCUACAUGUAGUUUAGUGCACUGUAGUUGCCAAGAAAAUUUUCAACAUCUUUGAUUGCCUUCCAUGUGAUUUUCACCAGUCCUACAAGAAGUUCUAUGAAUUGCCUGUCAUUGAUGACCUGUUUGAUUUGUGGACCAACAAAAGUGCCUUUCCUAAUCUUGGCAUCAGUUACUCUAAUUUGAAUUAUGAAUUGAAAUAGCAAAAUAUAGGCUAUUUUUUAAAAUCAUGGGUGGUAGGAAAAUUUCAGUAAUUUUCAUGAUUAACAGCCAUAAAUCCAUAAGAAGCACUCAAAAGUAUUCAGGAAACAAAAUAUUUGUGUUCAGUGAAAUCAGACAAAGAUCAGACAAUUUACUGCUAAAGUAAUACCUUCAAGCCAAAAGGGAGAAGAUGCAUUCAUAACAGCUGCAGGUCCCCAAAGAAGACUGGAGAGUUCCUGGUCAAGAUGGCGCCUGCAUACAACACUCCUUCGGUCAAUAUCCGGACAGAUCAUGAAACCAUAUAUUCCACUUUUAUGUCUUUUUGUUUUCUGCCUUGAAUGUGAUUCUGGACCUAUUGAAGCCUAUGAUUUGCAGUUUGGAGAUUAUUUGGGUGUUCUAGCACUCUGCAGUCUCCGAGAGGAUUCCAGGAGUCAGAGGCAUGAACCUUGUGGCAAGAAGACUACAAGAUGGGGCAUGAGCGAUGUUCGACUCCAUUUCGCUGCUUAAAGGUUCCAUUGUCUGCAGAUUAAAGCAACAAAGGAGAUAGAAACAUCCAGGUGAUUGUGGGAAGUGAGCACCAGUUGCCUGUCUUUUGAUCACUGGAGGAUUGCUCUGUUGCUGGAGAGGGGAGAGGCUGCCACUGUACCUGGCGAAUGUUAACCGGGUUUUCUGUGUUUUGGAUAUGGACUUGAGCUAUACUGCGAUUUUAGCCCGAUCUUUCUCAUGUUUUUGUGUGCGGGGGAGAAGGAUUUUGGGGUCAAUGUACCUGUUCGGUUUUUUUUUGUGCGGGGAGGAAGGAUUUAGGGGUUGAUGAUAGUGCUGCUGUACUUUCUUGGUUUUGUGGCUAUCUGGAGGAGAAGAAUUUUAGACAUGUAUACUUUGAUAAUAAAUGAACGUUUGAGUUCUGGAAGUAUACUUAGGAUCAUCUUUUUGUUCUGGUUUGGUCCCUUGGCCAUUCUUAAAACCCUUCUUGGCUCUGCAAAGAAAAUUUGACUGCCUUUCGUUGGAGCUGCACUCUUUUGGAGAAUUGUUUUCUGAUUUUUUUAUUUGGGCUUGCUAAUUUCAGUCUAUCAAAAUCCAAAUCAACUACUAUGGAAAUAUAAUUUUAUGAAGCAAAAUUUAAGUUGAUGAAAUAUGCUGAAAUGGAUUUGGUAUCAAAUUCUAUGUGGUGUGCACACCUGGAAAACGCUACAGAGUGCAACACCUCUCUUCGGAAUUCUUUUGCAACUGAUGAGUACCUCAGAAUGUGUGGUCAGACGUGGCAGAUGGCUGUAAAAUGCUUGACCAGUUAGUUUUUGAAUGAUGCUGUUUGAAGAACUGCAAGCUGGUGUGACAGGAGAUACUUUGGAACAAGAGCCUCUCAGGGAUCCUCUGAGCACUGCAGAAGAGAACUUGUGGAGAGAUUGGGGUUAAAUGUGAAACUCCAGUAUGGAGCAGCGAUAUCCCUGAUGCUACAAGCAGCGUUACACAAAGCAGCCCUUGCUGUCGACUAAGGCCACACAGUGUUGUGUAUUUUUUUAAAAUUCAGAGCGAGUACUCCCUGCUGAUUCGUUGCGGUCCACAAUAGUACUGAAAAUAAAAUCGUUCACAGAAGGCGACAGUACUUGGUUCCUGGCAGCAAUUUUGGAGUCAUUGUCUGGAUGGUAUUUCAGUACCAGGCACCCUCCCAACCUCCAGUGUCAGCAGUCAACAGCGGCAGACUGAUUAAUGCCUUCGGCUCUGCAAAACAACUCAAACAAUUACGGACAUGUCACUGAGUGUCUUGAGAUUUAAAUCCUGAUUCUUUCAUUAUCGCAUUGAUAAUGCAUUAUUAUUCACGGCUGUGAGGGACUUCGGAACAAGUUGGGCUGGUUUAAACUGUGCUUGGAAGCUCCAGGGUUCAUUGGCUAUUUGCCUCUUAGCUGCCAUGUGCUACCAUGUAUAUUAACUUGCUGUCUCCCUCUUUAUUUCAAAGUACUUGAAGAUGAAAUAACAUUGUAACUUCCUAUGCAAUUGUGACUACCUGGAACUUGUAAUUGCUAACUAUUUAGCAUUUUAUCCUCUAGAUAUGCUUGAGGGUCUUGAAGCAGUAUGCAAUUAUAAUUUUAGGUUGCUGUCCAGUUGGAUAAGGUUUUCAUACUCCACCUCCUUGAAAUAUGUCACUAAAGAACUAGUUGUUCAAAUCAUAAUAACCAGAUUUUCAAUUUUUGGUUAAUUUUUUUAACUGAAAUAAUUCAGAAUAAAUCCAAACACUUGGAUGUUGUUUGUACCCCAGAGCUGUUAAAUGAAGGGAAUCACAGUUUCUACAUAGGAGUAGAAUUAGACCAGAUGGCUCAUUGAGUCUGCUCUGCCAUUUCAUUAUGGCUAAUCCAUUUACCUUCUCAGCCCCCAUCUCCUGCCUCUCCCUGAAUCCCUUCAUGCCCCAACCGAUCAAGAAUCUAUCAACCUCUGCCUUGAAUAUACCCAAUGACAUGGCCUCCACAGCCGCCUAUAGCAAAAAGUUCCAUAGAUACACCACCCUCUGGCUGAAGAAAUUCUUCCUCAUCUCUGUUCUAAAAGGACACCCCUCUAUUCUGAGGACGUGUCCUUUAGUCUUGCUUUUUGUUGAUAUUAAAUGAUCCAGGGUUAAAUUGGGAGUUAAGCAGAGCACUUUUAUAGUUACUCUUAUCCCUUUAUAUGAAUAUGUGUACUAGAGUGUAAAGAUUUGAAGAAUUAAAUUUACAGGUUUAAAGGAUGUGCAGGAAGUCUAGGGGAAGUUUACGGCAGGCUACUAACUAAUUAUUACAUUAUUGAUGUAUGGAGGGAGCUCCAGUCAAGAUGCAUCAGUGUGCAAUACCUUUGGUCUACAUCUUCAAAAAUAGAUUUUUUUUACUUAUAUGUCUAUUUUUCACCUUAAAUGUUUCUCUGGACUGUUAGAGCCUGUGAUUUACAGUUUGGAGAUCGUUUGAGUGAUCCUGCGCUUUGCUGGCUCCGCGAUCUCGGGAAAUGAGCGCAUACUUGGGUGGCCUCGAUGCAAAGAAACUUUGAGACACAGGGUAUGAGCCGAUGUUUGACUCCUUUUCAAUGUUUAAAGCAUCCAUUAAUUGCCAAUUAAAGCAUCGAGAAAGACUGAGACAUCAAGUCGAAUGUAGAAGGCGAGUGAGAAGUUUGGCACCAGCAGCCUGCCUUUUGAUCACUGCCAGUCUGUGACAAGCCUUUGGCUGUCAGGCGGGUAGGCCUCUCUGCCUCAUGUGGUGUCCCUCUCUUUUGAUAAACGUCGGUUAUAUCAUAGGAUGGUGUCAUGGUUCUGUGCUUAUGGACUGUGGACUUUUUCAGACUUGGGGUUUUUAUAAAUAUUUUUAAUCACUCUUUUUUGUGUGGGGGUAGGUUUUUUUUGGGGGGGUGUUGUUGAUCAGGAUGCAAUUUUUUUUGUACAUGGGGAUUUGAUGUUUCUCUUUGAAUGACUUUCAUGUUCUUUCCUUGUUUCAUAGCUAUCCGGAGAAAUACAAAUUUCAGAGUUUUAUAUGGAUGCAUACUUUGAUAAUAAAUGAAAAAUUAAACUGAAGCACUUAGGGGAGACCCAUGGAAUCACUGGGAGAAUUCCACACAGCCUGAAGAUCAGGGUUAAAUUCCAGUUACUGGAGCUGUGAGGCAUCUUUCUGAAGGAAAUGUCCAUUUUAAGCGACAUUUAAUCAUAGUAUAUAACAAUUAGCUCCCAAAUAAAUAUUGGGAAUACAUUUUAAGUACGAGCUAAAAUCUUCAUCCACAUUCUAAUCCUUUUAAACUUAGCAUUCUAUUUCAAUGCAAUGGUUAUUGAACAAAGUUGGCAUUUUUUUAAAAAUUCAAUUACAGGUCUUUUCUAACUGGGGGAUGAAUAAUUUGAUUUAUUGAUUUGAUGUGGGGGGGGGAUGUGUAAUUUGAUUUAUUUACAUAGGUGCAUGGCAAGCAGGCGUUAAUGAUCGCAGUCUUUAUACCCUUCAUUGGACUGGGAAUGAAAUAAUUUGGUUAAACAAACCAGGAUGUGUCUUGCACUUUAUCCACUGUGUUUGUAAAAGCACUGGCUGGUACCCUGGGAGAGAAGUUUAAGGGUCUUGUUCCAACCUGAUUUAGGUUGUAAGCAGUCGCACUAAUAUUGCUUUCUGAGCCCAAAUUUAAAUUUGGACUUCUCUUUAGGAUUGUGAGCAUGUAUCUGAAUGAUGGGGUUCUUUCUAACACUUUUUUUGCGGUGGUCUUUAAAUCCUUGCACUGUAACUUUGCCUAUAACAAAGCAAUCUUAACAUACCAGCUGAUCCAGACAGAAUAAAUUGGACACUGCAUUACGUUGAACUUUUAUUACGAGGUAGCAUUUACAGGAUAGUUCUAUGUUAACUACUUUGGAAACCUGGAUUGGUUUGUUUUAAACUCUUGGACCAAAGGAAGUAGUGUUGGAUUUUAUCGGAUGCUGUCUGGAAGCAGUCUUUGAAGGCUUCACUACUUAGAGCAUCUCAGGGCACAUUCUUUCCCCUUUGCAGUCAGUCUAGUACACUGUUCCAAAGGCACAUUAAUAUAGUCUAUUUGGCAUGGUAAUCAGUCAUUUACAAAAACAAUUGGGUCGCUGGGUGUUUGCAAAUAACAUUAAAUAACUUGAUCCUUUUUUUUUUAAUAAAGGCAAAAUAGUUGCACACAUUCAGGCAGUGAUGUCCUGAUCUUCUCAGCCAUGUAGAAAUAGAAAUUGAACUAGAAAUGUAGCUGUUAACUUUCUGCAAUAAAAUAUGCAUUGUUGUUUAGUUAAAGCACAGUAGAAGUAAGGGCACUGAUUUCGGAGUGGGGUUAGAUCAGGGGAUUCCCAACCUUUGUUUUUUAUAUACCAUGGACCAAUAUCAUUAAGCAAGGGGUCCAUGCUUGGGAACCCCCUGGAUUAGGUGGAUGUUGAAUUUUGACAAUAAAUUAGAUCGUUCCAGAAUAAUAAAAUCCUGGAAAAAAUUAAUUAUUUUUAGAAAGCAAAAUUGUGUGGUUUUUAAAUGAACCAGAGUUCACUGGUUACUCCUAACUAGCUGAAAAUCGUGUUGUAUAAUGUGAAAUGUGUUCAGUGAUUUAUUUGCAAAAGAGAUUGUCCUUGUUGUUUCAACUGAAAAUGUCAGUGAUUUCUAUUUCUGUAAGUACCUGCAAAACAAUGCUCCUCAAAACCAGAAAUCAUUUAUAAAAUAAAGACCAUAAACUUCA